rnacentral:piRNA from 1 species
UGGGAAUUAAUGCAAAAAGCUAGAGGAAUU